rnacentral:rRNA from 1 species
UCUAAGGUGACUGCCGGCUAAAAGUCGGAGGAAGGUGGGGAUGACGUCAAAUCAUCAUGCCCUUAUGACCUGGGCUACACACGUGCUACAAUGGGCGGUACAAAGGGUCGCGAACCCGCGAGGGGAGGCCAAUCCCAAAAAGCCGCUCUCAGUUCGGAUUGCAGGCUGCAACUCGCCUGCAUGAAGCCGGAAUCGCUAGUAAUCGCGGAUCAGCAUGCCGCGGUGAAUACGUUCCCGGGCCUU